UACGUAGGUCCCGAGCGUUGUCCGGAUUUAUUGGGCGUAAAGCGAGCGCAGGUGGUUUAUUAAGUCUGGUGUAAAAGGCAGUGGCUCAACCAUUGUAUGCAUUGGAAACUGGUAGACUUGAGUGCAGGAGAGGAGAGUGGAAUUCCAUGUGUAGCGGUGAAAUGCGUAGAUAUAUGGAGGAACACUGGUGGCGAAAGCGGCUCUCUGGCCUGUAACUGACACUGAGACUCGAAAGCGUGGGGAGCAAACAGG
rnacentral:rRNA from 1 species